AGACAGUCUCAGAGAAUCGCCAUGGCAAGUCAAGCUCUAAAGAAGAUGGUAGUGCUGAGAUGGAAUCAAUUCCUUCGGAUUCAAGGCAGCAACAUAAAAGGAAGGAUAGAGAAUCUAGUGAUUCAUUCAAGGAAAAGAAUUCCAGGGGACCUCACAAAAGAAUGAAGAGAAAGGAGGGUGAAAAAGAUUCAUCCACAAAUUUUACCAAGAAAGGAUUCAUGGGAGGUAAAGCAAGGAAUAGUGACAUGAAAAGGAAGAACAACACUAACGAUGAACCUUAUAGGAAGCUGGUUAACAGAACGAAAGAAUUUGGACGUCG
rnacentral:misc_RNA from 1 species